CGAGUGGAGCCAUUGGAGUUGCCGCUCAUGGCGGCGCAGUUGGAGGAACGCCUCGGCAGUGGCGCGAAGUCGGCAACCCAGGUGGAGAGCUUCCAGCAGCGCUUGCGCGCAGGGGAGGUCGCAGAUGACAGAGAGCAGGACGCAUGGCGCGAGACUGGCU
rnacentral:SRP_RNA from 1 species